rnacentral:lncRNA from 1 species
GCCCCGCGGCUCAGGGCAGGCCGGGGCGGGGCGGACGCAGCGCGGUUUGCCCGCCUGUGCGGAAGCCUCCGCAGUCCGCGGCUGGCAGGGCCUGGGGCGGUCUUUCGCGUGGGUGUCCGUCCCUCCGCAGCCGUACUGCCGGCGCCAGGGCCGGCUCUGCACAUUUCGUAAGGCCUUACAUGGCUGCACCCCCCCCGCCACCGAGGACCUGAGCCCGCCGGCCGCCCUCCCGCGCUCUCCCGCCUGGGGACUGCGAGCUCCGCGCUGCACCUCCAAGCGGGGGACGCCUGCGGACUCCACCAAGCUGCCUUCCCCCGUACUGCUGUCCCCUGUGGGAGCAGAGGAAUCCGACCCAGGCUGGAAGAGACUUGAGCUUGCAAGUGAAAUAAGCCAGAGAAUUUUGAAGAUAUAAAAAGGCGCAUCUCAAUUCCGUGUGGCGGGCAAAAAAUAAAGGAGCAGAUUGUGACAGACCAUUCCCAUCGGCCAUGCGGGCGAACCCAACGUCCUUUUACAUUGAAGAACCCAACGGGGCCUUUUACAUUGCGGAUGAUGGACCGGCUCGUGACGUCCAUGAAUUUCACGCGCACCUGUGUGCACUGUCCCUGAGAGCCGGUCCUGCCCAGGACCUUGGUGACCCUGGCCAGCUUGAUAGGCUGCACACGGCUGGUGUUCAUGAUGGCGGCGCAGCGACGAUGUGGCG